AUAAUCUGCAAGAACAUGGAACAUUCUUGGUUCCUCCUUUUUCUAGGGGUGGUUCCCAGAGGUGUCCUGUCCCAGGUGCAGCUGCAGGAGUCGGGGCCUGGCCUGGUGAAGCCCUCACAGGCCCUGUCCCUCAUCUGCUCAGUCUCUGGUUACUCCAUCACCAGUGGUUAUUAUUGGAGCUGGAUCCGCCAGCCCCAAGGGAAGGGGCUGCAGUGGAUGGGGUGGAUUAGUAGUGGUGGAAGCACAGCUUAUAAUCCGUCCCUGAAGAGCCAAAUCAGCAUCUCCAGAGACACGUCCAAGAACCAGUUCUCUCUGCAGCUUAACUCUGUGACAGCUGAGGACACCGCCAUGUAUUACUGUGCAAGAGACACAGUGAGAGGACAUCAGUGUGAGCCCAGUCAUAAACCUCCACGCAGGAGUGCUUCGGACCAGCAGGGAGUGAUGGGGAUACAUCGAGCACCUCACAGGGCUUCAGAAACAGGUGCAGAGAAGGAAGCUGGGGAGUGAAGGCUUCCUGUUGGCCUCUGGGGUUUUCUCUCUGUCUUAACAUCAUAUGAUCUGAAGAGACCCUGGAGUACAUCUGCUAUAAUUGACUAUGCAGAAU